UACUACCACAGAGACCACAACAACAGAAAGCACAACAACGGACAUUACGACAACAGAAAGUACCACAACUGGUACCACAACUCCAGAAAGUACAACAGUGGAAACCACAACAACAGACACUACAACAACAGAAAGUACCAGCACCGUUACCACAGCUCCAGAAAGUACAACAACAGACACUACAACAACAGAAAGUGAAACCACUGGCACCACAACUCCAGAAAGUACUACUACAGAGACCACAACAACAGAAAGCACCACAACGGACAUUACGACAUCAGAAAGUAGCACCUCUGGUACCACCAGUCUAGAAAGUACAACAGCAGAGACCACAAUAACAACAGACAGCACCACAAUGGAUACUACAACAACAGAAAGCACCACCACUGGUACCACAACUUCAGAAAGUUCAACAGCAGAAACUUCAACAACAACUGAAAGCAUCACAACCGAUACUACAACUACAGAAAGCACAACUGAAUCCACAACAACAGAAAGUACAACAAUAACAGAAAGUACCACGAUGGGUAGUCCAACAACAGAGAGCACUACCAUCGUUACCACAACUCCAGAAAGUACAACAGUGGAAAUCACAACAACAGACGCUACAACAUCAGAAAGUUCCACCACCAUUACCACAACUCCAGAAAGUACAACAACAGAAAGCACCACAAUGGAUACUACAACAACAGUAAGUACCACAACUGGUAGCACAACCCAAGAAAGUACAACAACAGAUACCACAACAACAGACAGCACCACGAUGGGCACUACAACAACAGAAAGCACCACCACUGGUACCACAACUUCAGAAAGUACAACAGCAGACACUACACCAACAGAAAGCACAACAACUGAGGUAACAACAACGGAAAGCACUACAAAAACAGAAAGUACAACCACCAGUACCACAACUCCAGAAAGUACAACAACGGAGACGGCAACAUCAGAAAGCACCACACCUGAAGGAACAACAGAAAGCACCACCACCGGUACCACAACUUUUGAAAGUACAACAGCAGAAACUUCAACAACAACUGAAGGCAUCACAACUGAGAUAACAACAGAAAGUACAACCUCCGGUACCACAACACCAGAAAGUACAACAGCAGAGACAACAAUAAUAACAGACAGCAUGACAACUGAGACAACAACAGAAAGUACAACCUCCGGUACCACAACACCAGAAAGUACAACAGCAGACACUACAACUAGAGAAAGUACAACUGAAUCCACAACAACAGAAAGUACAUCAACAACAGAAAUCACUACCAUUGGUACCACAACUCCAGAAAGUACAACAGUGGAGAUCACAACAACAGACGCUACAACAUCAGAAAGUACCACAACAAUAGACAGCACCACAAUGGACACUACAACAACAGAAAGCACCACAAUGGAGACCACCACAACAGAAAGUGCAACCACUGGCACCACAACUCCAGAAAGUACUACCACAGAGUCCACAACAACAGAAAGUACAACAACGGACAUUACGACAACAGAAAGUACCACCUCCGGUACCACCCCUCUAGAAAGUACAACAGCAGAGACCACAAUAACAACAGACAGCACCACAAUGGAUACUACAACAACAGAAAGCACCACCACUGGUACCACAACUUCAGAAAGUUCAACAGCAGAAACUUCAACAACAACUGAAAGCAUCACAACCGAUACUACAACUACAGAAAGCACAACUGAAUCCACAACAACAGAAAGUACAACAAUAACAGAAAGUACCACGAUGGGUAGUCCAACAACAGAGAGCACUACCAUCGUUACCACAACUCCAGAAAGUACAACAGUGGAGAUCACAACAACAGACGCUACAACAUCAGCAAGUACCACAACUGGUAGCACAACUCAAGAAAGUACAACAGCAGACACUACACAAACAGAAAGCACCACAACAACAGACAGCACCACGAUGGGCACUACAACAACAGAAAGCACCACCACUGGUACCACAACUUCAGAAAGUACAACAGCAGACACUACACCAACAGAAAGCACAACAACUGAGGUAACAACAACGGAAAGCACUACAAAAACAGAAAGUACAACCACCAGUACCACAACUCCAGAAAGUACAACAACGGAGACGGCAACAUCAGAAAGCACCACACCUGAAGGAACAACAGACAGCACCACCACCACCGAAAGCACCACGACUCCAGAAAGCACCACAAUGGAGACUACCACAAAAGAAAGUGCAACCACUGGCACCACAACUCAAGAAAGUACUACCACAGAGACCACAACAACAGGAAGCACCACAACGGACAUUAUGACAACAGAAAGUACCACCACUGGUACCACCACUCUAGAAAGUACAACAGCAGAGACAACCGUAACAACAGACAGCACCACAAUCGAUAUUACAACAACAGAAAGCACCACCACCGGUACCACAACUUUUGAAAGUACAACAGCAGAAACUUCAACAACAACUGAAAGCAUCACAACCGAUACUACAACUACAGAAAGCACAACUGAAUCCACAACAACAGAAAGUACCACGAUGGGUAGUACAACAACAGAAAGCACCACCACUGGUACCACAACUCCAGAAAGUACAACAGCAGAAACUUCAACAACAACUGAAAGAAUCACAACAGAUACUACAACUACAGAAAGCACAACUGAAUCCACAACAACAGAAAGUACCACGAUGGGUAGUACAACAACAGAAAGCACUACCAUCGGUACCACAACUCAAGAAAGUACAACAACAGACGCGACAAAAACAGACAGCACCACUAUUGAUACAGCAACAACAGGAAGCACCACCAUCGGUACCACAACUUCAGAAAAUACAACAACGGAGACGGCAACAUCAGAAAGCACCAAAACAGAUGGAACAACAGACAGCACCACCAUCGGUACCGAAUAAAAAUACAUUUUAAAUGAAUGGAAACGGUAACAAUCCAUGAGUGCUGUUUUACUAUUAUUUAUGUUAUUUUAAAUAACUAAUCUUAUAAUUUAAAUCAUCCUUCUGUAACCAUAUGUGAAGAUUUUGCAUUAUAUAUAAUAAUUAAUUAAUGAAUUAAUUAAGUUAUCCUUACAUUACACUGAUAAAAUAUCUAAAGAAUCAAGAAUAUAUCCACAGCAUAAAAUUGAAGUGUUCAGGAGUAAGUAGAAAGUACCACAACAGAGACCACAACAAGCACCACCAGCAGCACCACAAUUCCAGAAAGUACAACAACAGAUACCACAGCUGCAAAAGCACCACAACAACUAAAAGCACCUUAAAAGUCACUACAAUAGAAAGUAUCACCAAUGGUACCACAACUGCAGAAAGUACAACACUACAAAGCAUGUAAAAUGUAAAAAUCACUUCAGUGUGUUCGU
rnacentral:lncRNA from 1 species